rnacentral:SRP_RNA from 1 species
CUGAGAAUUGAUUGCUGAGUUGGGAAGCCAACGCAGACGGGAAAGAGAAGAGAGGUAGGCGACUGAGAACGAAGCUGGCGGUCUUUUUCAGCAGCCUGAAUAAAGGGGCCGGGCCCUGUGCAGCAGAACCCUGUGAACCCCGCCAGGUCCGGAAGGAAGCAACGGUAAGCAAUCAGUUCUGGGUGCCGCAGGAUCACCUGGCCCCGCUUGUUCAGGAUGUUGAAACAGGCUCCCAACUUCGUUCUCGG